GCGGMAGAAGGGAGCUUGCUCCCGGAUGYUAGCGGCGGACGGGUGAGUAACACGUGGGUAACCUGCCUGUAAGACUGGGAUAACUCCGGGAAACCGGAGCUAAUACCGGWUAGUUCCUUGAACCGCAUGGUUCAAGGAUGAAAGACGGUUUCGGCUGUCACUUACARAUGGACCCGCGGCGCAUUAGCUAGUUGGUGAGGUAACGGCUCACCAAGGCGACGAUGCGUAGCCGACCUGAGAGGGUGAUCGGCCACACUGGGACUGAGACACGGCCCAGACUCCUACGGGAGGCAGCAGUAGGGAAUCUUCCGCAAUGGACGAAAGUCUGACGGAGCAACGCCGCGUGAGUGAUGAAGGUUUUCGGAUCGUAAAGCUCUGUUGUUAGGGAAGAACAAGUGCAAGAGUAACUGCUUGCACYU
rnacentral:rRNA from 1 species